UACGUAGGGGGCAAGCGUUGUCCGGAAUCAUUGGGCGUAAAGAGCGUGUAGGCGGCCCGGUAAGUCCGCUGUGAAAGUCCAGGGCUCAACCCUGGGAUGCCGGUGGAUACUGUCGGGCUCGAGUCCGGAAGAGGAGAGUGGAAUUCCUGGUGUAGCGGUGAAAUGCGCAGAUAUCAGGAAGAACACCUAUGGCGAAGGCAGCUCUCUGGGACGGUACUGACGCUGAGACGCGAAAGCGUGGGGAGCGAACAGG
rnacentral:rRNA from 1 species